UGCGGAGUAGAGCAGUUCGGUAGCUUGCCAGUCUCAUAAGCUGGAUGUCCGUGGUUCAAAUCCACGCCCCGCAACUA
rnacentral:tRNA from 1 species